GAAAGCUAGUUUAAUAAAACAUAGGAUUUCGGCUCCUAAGAUCCUAAAUUGCUAGGGCUUUCC
rnacentral:tRNA from 1 species